UACAGAGGGUGCUAGCGUUGUUCGGAAUUACUGGGCGUAAAGGGCGCGUAGGCGGCCUAUUAAGUCAGACGUGAAAGCCCCGGGCUUAACCUGGGAACUGCGUUUGAUACUGGUAGGCUUGAGAGCGGGAGAGGAAAGUGGAAUUUCCAGUGUAGAGGUGAAAUUCGUAGAUAUUGGAAGGAACACCAAAGGCGAAGGCAACUUUCUGGACCGCAUCUGACGCUGAGGCGCGAAAGCGUGGGGAGCAAACAGG
rnacentral:rRNA from 1 species